GUUUCCUCCUUUUUUCCUCAUUUUUUCCUCUUGCACAAUGGUUUUAACCCUUCUUCAUCUACUCCUCUUUAUUGAAUAAUUAUUUCGGUAUGUAAAUCUCUAUCAUCAUUUAAGAUAAUGACGGUACCUGACUAAGAAGCCCCGGCUAACUACGUGCCAGCAGCCGCGGUAAUACGUAGGGGGCAAGCGUUAUCCGGAUUUACUGGGUGUAAAGGGUGCGUAGGUGGCAGGGCAAGUCAGAUGUGAAAGCCCGGGGCCCAACCCCGGUACUGCAUUUGAAACUGUCCGGCUGGAGUGCAGGAGAG
rnacentral:rRNA from 1 species